GUGAGGAAUAUUGGUCAAUGGGCGGGAGCCUGAACCAGCCAAGUCGCGUGAAGGAAGAAGGAUCUAUGGUUCGUAAACUUCUUUUGCAGGGAAAUAAAGUGCAGGACGUGUCCUGUUUUGUAUGUACCCUGAGAAUAAGGAUCGGCUAACUCCGUGCCAGCAGCCGCGGUAAUACGGAGGAUCCGAGCGUUAUCCGGAUUUAUUGGGUUUAAAGGGUGCGUAGGUGGUUUGAUAAGUCAGCGGUGAAAGUUUGCAGCUUAACUGUAAAAAUGCCGUUGAAACUGUCGGACUUGAGUGUAAAUGAGGUAGGCGGAAUGCGUGGUGUAGCGGUGAAAUGCAUAGAUAUCACGCAGAACUCCGAUUGCGAAGGCAGCUUACUAAGCUACAACUGACACUGAAGCACGAAAGCGUGGGGAUCAAACAGGAUUAGAAACCCCGGUAGUCC
rnacentral:rRNA from 1 species